rnacentral:rRNA from 1 species
GAUGAACGCUAGCGACAGGCUUAACACAUGCAAGUCGAGGGGCAGCACGGUGUAGCAAUACACGGGUGGCGACCGGCGCACGGGUGAGUAACGCGUAUGCGACCUGCCCGCCACAGGGGAAUAACCGGGAGAAAUCCCGACUAAUACCGCGUAGACCUGAUUGAGGCAUCUCGAUUGGGGGAAAGCUUCGGCGGUGGCGGAUGGGCAUGCGGCGCAUUAGCUAGUUGGCGGGGUAACGGCCCACCAAGGCGACGAUGCGUAGGGGUUCUGAGAGGAAGGUCCCCCCACAUUGGUACUGAGACACGGACCAAACUCCUACGGGAGGCAGCAGUGAGGAAUAUUGGUCAAUGGGCGGAAGCCUGAACCAGCCAAGUCGCGUGAGGGAAGAC